UGGGGAAUUUUGGACAAUGGGCGAAAGCCUGAUCCAGCAAUGCCGCGUGUGUGAAGAAGGCCUUCGGGUUGUAAAGCACUUUUGUCCGGAAAGAAAUCCUUGGCUCUAAUACAGUCGGGGGAUGACGGUACCGGAAGAAUAAGCACCGGCUAACUACGUGCCAGCAGCCGUGGUAAUACGUAGGGUGCAAGCGUUAAUCGGAAUUACUGGGCGUAAAGCGUGCGCAGGCGGUUUGCUAAGACCGAUGUGAAAUCCCCGGGCUCAACCUGGGAACUGCAUUGGUGACUGGCAGGCUAGAGUAUGGCAGAGGGGGGUAGAAUUCCACGUGUAGCAGUGAAAUGCGUAGAGAUGUGGAGGAAUACCGAUGGCGAAGGCAGCCCCCUGGGCCAAUACUGACGCUCAUGCACGAAAGCGUGGGGAGCAAAACAGGAUUAGAUACCCUGGUAGUCCACGCCCUAAAACGAUGUCAACUAGUUGUUGGGGAUUCAUUUCCUUAGUAACGUAGCUAACGCGUGAAGUUGACCGCCUGGGGAGUACGAUCGC
rnacentral:rRNA from 1 species